CGUAGUUAAGUGUGCUUGGGCGAGAGUAGUACUAGGAUGGGUGACCUCCUGGGAAGUCUUCGUGUUGCACCCC
rfam:Arabis alpina cultivar Pajares scaff_43254_1_contig_2, whole genome shotgun sequence.